UUGAACGCUGGCGGCAGGCCUAACACAUGCAAGUCGAGCGGAUGAAGGGAGCUUGCUCCUGGAUUCAGCGGCGGACGGGUGAGUAAUGCCUAGGAAUCUGCCUGGUAGUGGGGGAUAACGUCCGGAAACGGGCGCUAAUACCGCAUACGUCCUGAGGGAGAAAGUGGGGGAUCUUCGGACCUCACGCUAUCAGAUGAGCCUAGGUCGGAUUAGCUAGUUGGUGGGGUAAAGGCCUACCAAGGCGACGAUCCGUAACUGGUCUGAGAGGAUGAUCAGUCACACUGGAACUGAGACACGGUCCAGACUCCUACGGGAGGCAGCAGUGGGGAAUAUUGGACAAAGGGCGAAAGCCUGAUCCAGCCAUGCCGCGUGUGUGAAGAAGGUCUUCGGAUUGUAAAGCACUUUAAGUUGGGAGGAAGGGCAGUAAGCUAAUACCUUGCUGUUUUGACGUUACCAACAGAAUAAGCACCGGCUAACUUCGUG
rnacentral:rRNA from 1 species